rnacentral:rRNA from 1 species
UACGAAGGGGGCUAGCGUUGUUCGGAAUCAUUGGGCGUAAAGGGUGCGUAGGCGGCGCGGUAAGUCGGGUGUGAAAUUUCGAGGCUUAACUUCGAAACUGCAUUCGAUACUGCCGUGCUUGAGGACUGGAGAGGAGACUGGAAUUUACGGUGUAGCGGUGAAAUGCGUAGAUAUCGUAAGGAAGACCAGUGGCGAAGGCGGGUCUCUGGACAGUUCCUGACGCUGAGGCACGAAGGCCAGGGGAGCAAACGGGG